rnacentral:rRNA from 1 species
CACGUAGGGCGCAAGCGUUGUCCGGAAUUAUUGGGCGUAAAGAGCUCGUAGGCGGUCUGUUGCGUCCGCUGUGAAAUCUCGGGGCUUAACCCCGAGCCUGCAGUGGAUACGGGCAGACUAGAGGUAGGUAGGGGAGAAUGGAAUUCCUGGUGUAGCGGUGAAAUGCGCAGAUAUCAGGAAGAACACCCGUGGCGAAGGCGGCUCUCUGGGACGGUACUGCCGCUGAGACGCGAAAAGCGUGGGGGAGCGAACAGGG